GUGAGGGUGAGGUGAUGGGUAACAUGUAAUGUUGGUGUAUUACUAGGAUUGUAUAGGAAAUAUAUGUUUUGGAAUGGUGUAAUAUUUUUU